GAUGAACGCUGGCGGCGUGCCUAAUACAUGCAAGUCGAGCGAACGGACGAGAAGCUUGCUUCUCUGAUGUUAGCGGCGGACGGGUGAGUAACACGUGGAUAACCUACCUAUAAGACUGGGAUAACUUCGGGAAACCGGAGCUAAUACCGGAUAAUAUUUUGAACCGCAUGGUUCAAAAGUGAAAGACGGUCUUGCGGUCACUUAUAGAUGGAUCCGCGCUGCAUUAGCUAGUUGGUAAGGUAACGGCUUACCAAGGCAACGAUGCAUAGCCGACCUGAGAGGGUUAUCCGCCACACUGGAACUGACACACGGUCCAAGCCCCUACGGGAGGCCGCCGUAGGGAAUCUUCCGCAAUGGGCCAAACCCUGACGGACCACCGCCGCGCGAGUGCUGAAGGUCUUCGGAUCGUAAAACUCUGUUAUUAGGGAAGAACAUAUGUGUAAGUAACUGUGCACAUCUUGACGGUACCUACUCAGAAAGCCACGGCUAACUCCGUG
rnacentral:rRNA from 1 species